rnacentral:lncRNA from 1 species
GCUAUUGGAUGCCACUAAUAGUAUCUGUAUAUAAGCAUUCACCACUCAUUUCAGCCAAAUCAGCAGUCUGACAUUUAGAUUGGAUUGUGUCCACAGGAGAACAUCAAGCCACAAAAGUCGCUGGAGAUGUUGGAGAAAUCAGAGAAUCCUCAUACAGUGUAUACUACUGCAAGAGAUUUAGGACAAACUGAUGUUACCAACCACACCACACCCAACGACGACCCUAUGAAUCAGAGUGCAUUACACAAAGAGAGGAGCAAGCCAAAUGCACCAGUCACUAUCUACUGUACCAUUCAGCAGAAACCAAAAUCCCCCAAAACUGAAACUAAUCACACCAUUUAUGCUGUAGUCAAUAAACCGUCAGCCGGAUAUGAAUCUGCACAUCCACAAUCAGAAUAAAAGUGAACUUUCAAUAAAAACCCUAAACCCUUACAGUGAUUAAAAGUGAUAAAGGACUUCAUGUGUUCAGGAAGGCAGUGUUAUUCUCAGUGUAAAUAAGCAACAUAUUUACCAUGUGCAGUGUGCUCCUAUUGUAGUUGAUUUAGGGUGUGUUAAAGAUAUUUAAAUACGUAAAUUCUGUCUUUUUUUAAAGCAGCAGUGAAUGUAUUUUUAUUGUAAAAUUGUUGUACAUGUGACUCAGACAGGAAUGCAAAAUCUCAUGUGGAUUCAGUAGAUUUCUAUUGGCGAUACCUCGCCGCCUUUGCAGGCAACGCCUGAAAAUCACUUCCUGGAAAGUAUUUGUCAGUCUUUAGAUUUAUUGAAGGGUCAUCAGGGCUGGGGAAUAACGAAAUACAUGUAACGGCGUUACGUAUUUAAAAAAAACUGUAUUUCAUUAUAAUUAAAUAAUGUUACAGUUACAGUUACAUCCGAAAAGUAUUUUAGAUUACCAAAGUGAUUACUUUGAAUUUUAAUGUCAUUUCUUAAUUUAAUAUUUAAGUAAACAGUUUGGGGAUUUUAAACAAUAAGGCAACCUUAGACUUUUAUUUUAUGACUUUUAUUUAACCCAUGGACAGCUAAAACCCCACGCCUUACAUGCUCACCAUCAUGACACAAAAAUGGACGACACAACAG